UACGAAGGGGGCUAGCGUUGUUCGGAAUCACUGGGCGUAAAGCGCACGUAGGCGGACAAUUAAGUCAGGGGUGAAAGCCUGGGGCUCAACCUCAGAAUUGCCCUUGAUACUGGUUGUCUAGAGUCCGGUAGAGGUGAGUGGAACUGCUAGUGUAGAGGUGAAAUUCGUAGAUAUUAGCAAGAACACCAGUGGCGAAGGCGGCUCACUGGACCGGUACUGACGCUGAGGUGCGAAAGCGUGGGGAGCAAAC
rnacentral:rRNA from 1 species